GCCGAUCUGGCUCAAUUGGAUAGAGCACUCGCCUCCUAAGCGAGAGGUUGCGGGUUCGAGUCCCGCGUUCGGUU